GCCGGAGUAGCUCAGUGGCCAGAGCGCGCGCCUUGUAAGCGCGGGGUCCCGGGUUCGAAUCCCGGCUCCGGCU
rnacentral:tRNA from 1 species